rnacentral:rRNA from 1 species
AUUGAACGCUGGCGGCAUGCCUUACACAUGCAAGUCGAACGGUAACGGGCCUCCGGGUGCCGACGAGUGGCGAACGGGUGAGUAAUACAUCGGAACGUGCCCGAUCGCGGGGGAUAACGAGGCGAAAGCUUUGCUAAUCCCGCAGACGCUCUACGGAUGAAAGGAGGGGACCGCGAGGCCUUGCGCGGACGGACCGGCCGAUGGCAGAUUAGGUAGGUGGAGGGAUACAAGCUUACCAAGCCGACGAUCUGUAGCUGGUCUGAGAGGAUGAUCAGCCACACUGGGACUGAGACACGGCCCAGACUCCUACGGGAGGCAGCAGUGGGGAAUUUUGGACAAUGGGCGCAAGCCUGAUCCAGCCAUGCCGCGUGCAGGAUGAAGGCCUUCGGGUUGUAAACUGCUUUUGUACGGAACGAAAAGCCUUCUUCUAAUACAGGAGGGUCAUGACGGUACCGUAAGAAUAAGCACCGGCUAACUACGUGCCAGCCGCCGCCGUAA